rnacentral:rRNA from 1 species
UGCAAGUCGUACGCGUUGGCCCAACUGAUUUGAAGUGCUUGCACGGAUCUGACGUUGGUUUACCAACGAGUGGCGGACGGGUGAGUAACACGUAGGUAACCUGCCCAGAAGCGGGGGACAACACUUGGAAACAGGUGCUAAUACCGCAUAACAAUUCAAAUCGCAUGAUUUGAAUUUGAAAGAUGGUUUCGGCUAUCACUUCUGGAUGGACCUGCGGCGCAUUAGCUUGUUGGUGGGGUAACGGCCUACCAAGGCAGUGAUGCGUAGCCGAGUUGAGAGACUGAUCGGCCACAAUGGGACUGAGACACGGCCCAUACACCUACGGGAGGCAGCAGUAGGGAAUCUUCCACAAUGGGCGCAAGCCUGAUGGAGCAACACCGCGUGAGUGAAGAAGGUUUUCGGAUCGUAAAGCUCUGUUGUUGAAGAAGAACGUGCAUGAGAGUAACUGUUCAUGCAGUGACGGUAUUCAACCAGAAAGUCACGGCUAACUACGUGCCAGCAGCCGCGGUAAUACGUAGGUGGCAAGCGUUAUCCGGAUUUAUUGGGCGUAAAGAGAGUGCAGGCGGUUUCUUAAGUCUGAUGUGAAAGCCUUCGGCUCAACCGAAGAAGUGCAUCGGAAACUGGGAAACUUGAGUACAGAAGAGGGCAGUGGAACUCCAUGUGUAGCGGUGGAAUGCGUAGAUAUAUGGAAGAACACCAGUGGCGAAGGCGGCUGCCUGGUCUGUAACUGACGCUGAGACUCGAAAGCAUGGGUAGCGAACAGGAUUAGAUACCCUGGUAGUCCAUGCCGUAAACGAUGAGUGCUAGGUGUUGGAGGGUUUCCGCCCUUCAGUGCCGGAGCUAACGCAUUAAGCACUCCGCCUGGGGAGUACGACCGCAAGGUUGAAACUCAAAGGAAUUGACGGGGGCCCGCACAAGCGGUGGAGCAUGUGGUUUAAUUCGAAGCUACGCGAAGAACCUUACCAGGUCUUGACAUCUUGCGCCAACCCUAGAGAUAGGGCGUUUCCUUCGGGAACGCAAUGACAGGUGGUGCAUGGUCGUCGUCAGCUCGUGUCGUGAGAUGUUGGGUUAAGUCCCGCAACGAGCGCAACCCUUGUUACUAGUUGCCAGCAUUAAGUUGGGCACUCUAGUGAGACUGCCGGUGACAAACCGGAGGAAGGUGGGGACGACGUCAGAUCAUCAUGCCCCUUAUGACCUGGGCUACACACGUGCUACAAUGGACGGUACAACGAGCAGCGAACUCGCGAGGGCAAGCAAAUCUCUUAAAACCGUUCUCAGUUCGGAUUGCAGGCUGCAACUCGCCUGCAUGAAGUCGGAAUCGCUAGUAAUCGCGGAUCAGCAUGCCGCGGUGAAUACGUUCCCGGGCCUUGUACACACCGCCCGUCACACCAUGAGAGUUUGUAACACCCAAAGUCGGUGGGGUAACCUUUGGAGCC